ensembl:snRNA U6 U6 spliceosomal RNA
GUGCUCCCUUCGGCAGCACAUAUACUAAAAAUUGGAAUGAUACAGAGAUUAGCAUGGCCCCUGCGCAAGGAUGACAUGCAAAUUCGUGAAGCAUUCCAUAUUUUU